ACCGAUUGGAUUGACGUUGCCCCAGUAAGUCUCGACCUGAGGGUGUUGCAGUGGAUCGCCGUACACCUCGCUGGUGCUCGUUAGCAAGAACCGCGCACCGACUCUCUUGGCCAGCCCCAGCAUGUUGAGAGUUCCCACUACAUUUGAUAUGAUGGUCUUGACGGGGUUGAACUUGUAAUGGACGGGAGAGGCGGGGCAAGCGAGGUGGUAGAUCUGAUCGACCUCCAGGAGGAGAGGCUCCACGACGUCGUGUCGGAUGAGCUCGAACCUAGGGUUUCCGAAAUGGUGCAUCACGUUCUCCUUCCGGCCAGUGAAGAAAUUGUCCACGACAAUCACGCUGUCGCCUCUCGCGAUCAGACGGUCCACCAGGUGGCUCCCGACGAACCCCGCGCCGCCGGUGACCACGAUCCUCAGCCCCUUCCGUUUCAGUCCCAGUGGCACCUUUCCUCCCGAAUGAACCGACCCGAUCCCGCCGUGGCCCUGGUAGAACACGCCCCGAGUCACACGAGUCGACUCGGAGAUCAAGUGCGAGUCUGAGAUCUGAUCAUAGUUCUCGCCGGAAACUCCGCGGGAGGUGGCGGGAAGGAGAGUGAAGAAAAGCGUGGCGAUGGCCAUUCCGACGACAACGAACACGAGCCGCUGUUCCCGGAGCACGUAUCGAAUCGGACGAAUCACGGACAGCCACGGCUUCGGGCGCUUCGGCGAGUAAGCGUCAGCUAUUGUUUGAGCCUCGUGGCCCCUGUAUAUCAACUCCGACGACCCCAUGUUCACUCCUCUCUCUGUCUCUGCAAAUCAAUGAAGAGAGAAGAGGGGUUCCGGAAGAGGCGAUGAUGGGGAAAAUAUAUAAGACGAAACGGCAAUGGUGAUGGCGGUGGUAGUUUGAAGCCGGAAAAUCGGCCGCUUUUAAUCGGCGACGCGUGGUUGAUGAUGGGUGUGAGGGUCGGUAUAAAUAGUCCCGCUUGUUUGGCCACAAUUACGUAAUUGUCCUCGGGUGCUCUGAAAAGUAAACGGUUGCUACCCAGGUUGGGAAAUUGGAGAUCCACUCCAAAAACUGCUAGUGACAGGGGGCAAUUUUACUGUACUACCCCUGGGAGGUUACCAUUAACUCGGAGCCAUGUGUGCCAGUAAAGACCAAUAUGCGAUCGCCACGUGUCAAGACUUAGGAGCUCCGCUUAUCUUUAUAAUCUUUAUUAUGAUUUUGAACUGGAAAGAGAUAAAGAAGAAGAUUAAGUCAACCAAUGAUAUCUUUAAAUAUCCCAAGAAUUAUCUCUAUUAGGGAAGAUUAUCUUUUCUCCCCAUGGAAAGGGGAUCAACCUCUCCUUUUGAAAUAUAUCUUAUCUCCUAAGGGAAAGGCCACGGGACAUCUAUAAAUAGAGGGCAACCUCUACAGGUAUGGGGAUCUGAUCUGAUUCCUAAGGGACUCAUUGAUUAUCUUUCAUUACUGUUAUUAUGCUCCUCAAAAACCCUGUGAACUGACUUGAGCGUCGGAGGGAUCACGGGGAGCAAGUCUCCACCCCUUUUUGCAGGUACUUGG